UGAGCACCGUAGAGCUUCUUGGAGCGGGGCUUUGCUGAGGUUCAAAUGUUGAGCAGAAUUUGGAGAAGCAAGCGGGAGUACAUUCAUGCAAGGAUGGCUGCAGAUAUUUCCAGCGGAACUGAAAUGGUACUGGAAAGAUAAACUUGGAGAAGAGCAGUGAAGAUGCUACCUCACCGUGGCGCAAGUUACUGAGCGUCAGGGGAGCAGAGCACUGCUGGGGAGACCGUGGUGCACGGCCGGACUGACUUUGCCGUCUCUGGGACCGCGGCUGCGUGGAUGCGCAGGUACUACCACAGCACUCGGCACCUUUCCAGACUUCAAUUUCUAUUUCACAGGUAAUAUUUUCAAAUCUUCCAGCCACACUACAUCCAAAGUAUUGUUCCAGUUAGAUA
rnacentral:lncRNA from 1 species